rnacentral:misc_RNA from 1 species
UCUCCGUUGGUGAACCAGCGGAGGGAUCAUUACCGAGUGCAAACUCAUAACCCUUUGUGAACCUAUAUCUGUUGCUUCGGCGGCUCGCUCUCGGGCGAGCCCGCCGGUAAUAUCAGUAUCUCUGUUUGAACCCGACGAUACUUCUGAGUGUUCUUAGCGAACAGUUAAAACUUUGAACAACGGAUCUCUUGGCUCUAACAUCGAUGAAGAACGCAGC